rnacentral:rRNA from 1 species
UACGUAGGUGGCAAGCGUUGUCCGGAAUUACUGGGCGUAAAGGGCGUGUAGGCGGCCUUUUAAGUCAGACGUGAAAACCCUGGGCUUAACCCAGGAACUGCGUUUGAAACUGGAAGGCUUGAGGACCGGAGAGGGUAGUGGAAUUCCCAGUGUAGCGGUGAAAUGCGUAGAUAUUGGGAGGAACACCAGUGGCGAAGGCGACUGCCUGGACGGCACCUGACGCUGAGGCGCGAAAGCUAGGGGAGCAAACGGG